UGCGUAGGCGGAUUUUUAAGUGAGAUGUGAAAUACUCGGGCUUAACCUGAGUGCUGCAUUUCAAACUGGAAGUCUAGAGUGCAGGAGAGGAGAAGGGAAUUCCUAGUGUAGCGGUGAAAUGCGUAGAGAUUAGGAAGAACACCAGUGGCGAAGGCGCUUCUCUGGACUGUAACUGACGCUGAGGCUGAAAGCGUGGGGAGCAAACA
rnacentral:rRNA from 1 species